rnacentral:rRNA from 1 species
AAUAGAUACCCGGGUAGUCCACGCCGUAAACGAUGAGUGCUAAGUGUUAGAGGGUUUCCGCCCUUUAGUGCUGAAGUUAACGCAUUAAGCACUCCGCCUGGGGAGUACGGCCGCAAGGCUGAAACUCAAAGGAAUUGACGGGGGCCCGCACAAGCGGUGGAGCAUGUGGUUUAAUUCGAAGCAACGCGAAGAACCUUACCAGGUCUUGACAUCCUCUGACAACCCUAGAGAUAGGGCUUCUCCUUCGGGAGCAGAGUGACAGGUGGUGCAUGGUUGUCGUCAGCUCGUGUCGUGAGAUGUUGGGUUAAGUCCCGCAACGAGCGCAACCCUUGAUCUUAGUUGCCAUCAUUCAGUUGGGCACUCUAAGGUGACUGCCGGUGACAAACCGGAGGAAGGUGGGGAUGACGUCAAAUCAUCAUGCCCCUUAUGACCUGGGCUACACACGUGCUACAAUGGACGGUACAAAGAGCUGCAAGACCGCGAGGUGGAGCUAAUCUCAUAAAACCGUUCUCAGUUCGGA